rnacentral:misc_RNA from 1 species
UCCUGGUUAACCCAGGCAGUCUCAUUAGAGUUCCCACCUUAAAUGUUGGCAACUAAUGAUAAGGGUUGCGCUCGUUGCUGGACUUAACCAAACACCUCACGGCACGAGCUGACGACAGCCAUGCAGCACCUAUAUAGGAGUCCUUACGGAAGCACUCAUCUCUGAGUGCGCCCCCUACAUUUCGAGCCUGGGUAAGGUUCUUCGCGUUGCAUCGAAUUAAACCACAUGCUCCACUGCUUGUGCGGGCCCCCGUCAAUUCUUUUGAGUUUCACCCUUGCGAGCGUACUCCUCAGGCGGUAUACUUAUCGCGUUAGCUACGACACAAUCCGGGUUGAGCCGAAUUCCAUCAAGUAUACAUCGUUUACGGCAAGGACUAC